UUGGUGGGGUAACGGCCUACCAAGCCGACGACGGGUAGCGGGUCUGAGAGGAUGGUCCGCUCGAGUGGGACUGAGACACGGCCCACACACCUACGGGUGGCAGCAGUUGGGAAUCUUGCACAAUGGGGGAAACCCUGAUGCAGCGACGCCGCGUGGAGGAUGAAGGGUCUAGGCCUGUAAACUCCUUUUCUCGGGAAAGACUUAGGACGGUACCCGAGGAAUAAGGACCGGCUAACUA
rnacentral:rRNA from 14 species